AUUGAACGCUGGCGGAAUGCUUUACACAUGCAAGUCGAGCGGCAGCGCGGGGGCAACCCUGGCGGCGAGCGGCGAACGGGUGAGUAAUACAUCGGAACGUGUCCUUAAGUGGGGGAUAGCUCGGCGAAAGCCGGAUUAAUACCGCAUAAGCUCUGAGGAGGAAAGCGGGGGGAUUCGCAAGGACCUCGCGCUGUUGGAGCGGCCGAUGUCGGAUUAGCUAGUUGGUGGGGAAAGGCCCACCAAGGCGACGAUCCGUAGCUGGUCUGAGAGGAUGAUCAGCCACACUGGAACUGAGACACGGUCCAGACUCCUACGGGAGGCAGCAGUGGGGAAUUUUGGACAAUGGGGGCAACCCUGAUCCAGCCAUUCCGCGUGAGUGAAGAAGGCCUCGGUGUAA
rnacentral:rRNA from 1 species